GAAAGGAGGGCCUUAUUAUCAAAUCAAGACUGCUGAGCUCCUCAAGCAUUGGCAGGUCUCCUGUGGCCAGGAAGAGAGAGUCACCAGCAUCAGGGUACCCUGAGGUGCAGAGGGAUGAAAUUAAGCAAAGGAAAAAUCAGGCUGGUGCCAACUAAUACUCACAGCCAGAACUCUGCUUUCGUUAAGACCCACUUUCUGAGAAGAAAGAGGCCACCACUUCUUUACCCACCCUGGACCACCCUUCUCACUGAGCCCCCCCUGGCAGCACAAAAUCAACACAAAACCAGUUGCUUUUCAUAAGUGAAGCCAUUCCUUUCUUGAAGUGCCAUUUCCUGAACAAAGAAUGUAACAAUAAUCAGCUUCUCACAAUCAAAAUCUAAGGAUAUUAAGGUGAGAGGGAAGCUUAGGGACCUAAUCAAAGUCCCUCAUUUUAAAAGAAAACUGAAAUUCAGGAAAAUGAAGUGACCCAUCCAAG